rnacentral:rRNA from 1 species
GAUGAACGCUGGCGGCGUGCCUAAUACAUGCAAGUCGAGCGAACGGACGAGAAGCUUGCUUCUCUGAUGUUAGCGGCGGACGGGUGAGUAACACGUGGAUAACCUACCUAUAAGACUGGGAUAACUUCGGGAAACCGGAGCUAAUACCGGAUAAUAUUUUGAACCGCAUGGUUCAAAAGUGAAAGACGGUCUUGCUGUCACUUAUAGAUGGAGCCGCGCUGCAUUAGCUAGUUGGUAAGGUAACGGCUUACCAAGGCAACGAUGCAUAGCCGACCUGAGAGGGUGAUCGGCCACACUGGAACUGAGACACGGUCCAGACUCCUACGGGAGGCAGCAGUAGGGAAUCUUGCGCAAUGGGCGAAAGCCUGACGGAGCAACGCCGCGUGAGUGAUGAAGGUCUUCGGAUCGUAAAACUCUGUUAUUAGGGAAGAACAGAUGUGUAAGUAACUGUGCACAUCUUGACGGUACCUAAUCAGAAAGCCACGGCUAACUACGUG